ACUCCUACGGGAGGCAGCAGUGGGGAAUAUUGCACAAUGGGGGAAACCCUGAUGCAGCCAUGCCGCGUGUGUGAAGAAGGCCUUCGGGUUGUAAAGCACUUUCAGUAGGGAGGAAGGUAGUGUAGUUAACACCUGCAUUAUUUGACGUUACCUACAGAAGAAGCACCGGCUAACUCCGUGCCAGCAGCCGCGGUAAUACGGAGGGUGCGAGCGUUAAUCGGAAUUACUGGGCGUAAAGCGCAUGCAGGCGGCCUGUUAAGUCAGAUGUGAAAGCCCGGGGCUUAACCUCGGAAUUGCAUUUGAAACUGGCAGGCUAGAGUCUUGUAGAGGGGGGUAGAAUUUCAGGUGUAGCGGUGAAAUGCGUAGAGAUCUGAAGGAAUACCAGUGGCGAAGGCGGCCCCCUGGACAAAGACUGACGCUCAGAUGCGAAAGCGUGGGGAGCAAACAGGUUUAGAUACCCUGGUAGCACAGAG
rnacentral:rRNA from 1 species